UACGGGGGGGGCAAGCGUUGUUCGGAAUUACUGGGCGUAGAGGGCGCGUAGGCGGUUUGCUAAGUUGGAUGUGAAAACUCUGGGCUUAACCCAGAGCCUGCAUCCAAAACUGGCAAACUUGAGUACUGGAGGGGAAAGCGGAAUUCCUGGUGUAGCGGUGAAAUGCGUAGAUAUCAGGAGGAACACCGGUGGCGAAGGCGGCUUUCUGGACAGUAACUGACGCUGAGGCGCGAAAGCUAGGGGAGCAAACAGG
rnacentral:rRNA from 1 species